AUGAUGAUAAUCAUCAGUGAUCAUUUCCAUAGUUUCUAAUUUAUGAAAUGUGUUUCUGAAGUGAGUGGUCUCAGUGAAUACGAUGAGCUGUGAUAUUGUCUGUUGAGUGUAAAGCAGACACUAAGUAAUGAAUCAUUUUCGUAUGCUCUCUGGCAUUGAUGAGGAAUUUUUCAUUCUUCAUGGAGCUUAGAUGAAGAUAAUAAGAUCAGAGUGGU